GCGGAGGUUUGCCCUGGUGCAGGUAUGACACAGCCGUCAUGUCAGUGGAAGGAUCUGGGAGUUUCUCUGGGAAUGUCACAUUCCUGUGGUUUUCUUCCCACGGAGUGAACAGCAGAUACUAAUGUUUUUGUCACUUUUUACAGAAUCAGUGUAAGGUCUGUACUUCCACGUUUUAAAUGCUGCACUGUCAUACUCUCGCUGCACUCGAUAUAUUAUCCAUUGCUGAUCUGCACACAGCUGUUGCCACGAACGUCGUACUCACUUACGUCACUGUCAUGAGACACUCUCACAAACGAGAUCAUGGUUUAGUAACGCAGUAAUGCAGCAUGCUUACGGGAAAGUAACAGUAACCUAAUUACCUUUUUUGCAAUAAUAAACUUACUUUACUUGUUACUUGAAAAAAGUAAUCGAAUUACAGUAACGUGUUGCUGCCCAUCUCUGCCAGCGAAGUAGGCCAGGUGUGCAGCAGGUGAUGUGUUUGGCGGAGUUUGUUUUAUGAUUACAUUUUUAAAAAUGUAAUUACAAUUUUUUUUUUUUUUUUUUUUGUAAAGAGAAAGUCCAAAUGAAGUUUGUUAAACCUAGUUUGGAUGUUCUGACCAACAUCUGCUUCACAGGCGAUGGAGGCUGGAAUGGGGCAGGGCCAAGCCUGUCUCCUCCUAAUUCUAAACCUGAUCUUGAUCCUUGUUCUGGUCCUCAAUCAGAGCCAUAUGAUGGGCUCUGUGCUCCUGUGCCCGGACGGUCUGAUGAGGCUCUGGUCACCAUUGACUCAGAUGCUCUGAUGGCCUCGCCUAAAGGAGAGGCUGCAGGUCGGAAAGGUCCAGACCCACAGCUGAGGGACAGCAGCUAUCUUGAAAGACACCGCAGGAAACGCAUCACAUAGAGCUGCAGCAUGCUGUGUUGCCUGCUACCCAUAAUCCAAGGCAGCCAUGUUGACAUGGUAACAGUGCUGGAGAUGACGGUGACGCUCUUAGAGACAGUUCAUGAAGUAGUCCCAGCCGAGGACCCAAACGUACAGGUAAAGCAGAGGGGCUGAUCGCGCGAUAUGGCAGUCUCGCUUCUGUUAGUCUGCCCCAGGGCAGCUGUGGCUACAACUGUGGUUUGCCUGCACCAGUGUGUGAAUGUGAGAGGGAAUGAAUAGUGGAAUUGUAAAGCGCUUUGGGUGCCUAGAAAAGCGCUAUAUAAAUGCAAUUCAUUAUUAUAAACACCAGGAAAUAGACCCAGCCCAAGAUGCAC
ensembl:lncRNA